rnacentral:rRNA from 1 species
UGGGGAAUAUUGCACAAUGGGGGAAACCCUGAUGCAGCAACGCCGCGUGAGUGAAGAAGGCCUUCGGGUUGUAAAGCUCUGUUGAAGGGGAAGAUAAUGACGGUACCCUUCGAGGAAGCCACGGCUAACUACGUGCCAGCAGCCGCGGUAAUACGUAGGUGGCGAGCGUUGUCCGGAUUUACUGGGCGUAAAGGAUGCGUAGGCGGAUUAUUAAGUCAGAUGUGAAAUACCCGAGCUUAACUUGGGAGCUGCAUUUGAAACUGGUAGUCUGGAGUGCAGGAGAGGUAAGUGGAAUUCCUAGUGUAGCGGUGAAAUGCGUAGAGAUUAGGAAGAACACCAGUGGCGAAGGCGACUUACUGGACUGUAACUGACGCUGAGGCAUGAAAGCGUGGGGAGCAAA